rnacentral:rRNA from 1 species
GACAGAGGGUGCAAACGUUGUUCGGAAUCACUGGGCUUAAAGGGCGCGUAGGCGGGUUCCCAAGUCGGUGGUGAAAUCUUUCGGCCCAACCGGAAAACAGCCGCCGAUACUGGGAGUCUUGAGGGAGGUAGGGGUCGAUGGAACUUCCGGUGGAGCGGUGAAAUGCGUAGAUAUCGGAAGGAACGCCGGUGGCGAAAGCGAUCGACUGGACCUUUUCUGACGCUGAGGCGCGAAAGCCAGGGGAGCAAAGCGGG